rnacentral:misc_RNA from 1 species
AGCCAUUGAAAUAGAAGUUAUUUUUUGGAUGUUAAGCCCUAGGGUUUUGCAUUAGUUGGUUUCAGAAGGCAAUUGCCCGCCAUCGCCAUUUUAUGUUGUUGGGAUUGAAUUCAUUCCUUAUGACCUAAACCCAUUUCUUAGCAGUUACACGCAAAGUCGUCAUUAAUACGUCAACAGCUCCAGAGUAUUGAUUGCUUUAUUAAAUAACUUUGAAACUUAGCUAAUGCCGUUGCUGCCCCCACACACACAAGAAAAGAAAAAAAGGAUGAGAAGGAAGAAGAAUGAAAAAUGAAAGAGGAAAGAAAACCCUAGCCAUUGCCACCAUGUAAACCCGCUUAGCAGGGGACUUGUUUGUUACAACCAUCCCCAUCACCUGGCUCAAUGAUCUUAACUUAUU